ensembl:lncRNA
GCCCAUCAUUACAUGAAAUAUUCUCUUGGUAUCUCUAAUUUUCUUGAAGAGAUCUUUAAUCUUUCCUAUUCUUUUGUUUUCCUCUAUUUCUUUGCAUUGAUCACUGAGGAAGGCUUUCUUAUCUCUCCUUGCUAUUCUUUGGAACUCUGCAUUCAGAUGGAUAUAUCUUUCUUUUUCUCCUUUGCCUUUUACUUCUCUGUUUUUUUCUCAGCUAUUUGUAAGGCUUCCUCAGACUUUUGCAUUUUUUGCAUUUCUUUUUCUUGGGUAUGGAUUUGAUCACUGCCUCCGUCCAUAGUUCUUCAGGCACUUUGUCUAUCAGAUCUAAUCCCUUGAAUCUAUUUGUCACUUCCACUGUAUAAUUGCAAAGGAUUUGAUUUAGGUCAUACCUGAAUUUUCCCUACUUUUUUCAGUUUAAGUCUGAAUUUUGCAAUGAGGAGUUCAUGAUCUAAGCCACAGUCAGAUCCUGGUCUUGUUUUUGCUGACUGUAUAGAGCUUCUCCAUCUUUAGUGGCAAAGAAUAUAAUCAAUCUGAUUUCAGUAUUGACCAUCGGGUGAUGUCCAUGUGUAGAGUCGUCUCUUGUGUUGUUGGAAGAGGGUGUUUGCUGUGACCAGGACAUUCUCUUGGCAAAAACCGAGUGAUUAAGUAUAACACAGCACAGUCUGAACAUCAAAAGAUUAUUCUAAAUUAAAGAAAAUUAGAUGUGGCAAGUUUUAAGGAAUUUAGUGCUUUUCUAUGUGUGGGAAGAUGCAAGAGUCUGGGCUCACUGAAAUCAUUCUUUUGACAUGCAUUCAGCUAUCUGCGGCUGGUAUCCUGUGUUUUCACACCCUGAGUCCCUCUGGGCUCCCUGUGAGGCGUGGCUGCAGUCUGAUGGUUGCUAGAUGGCAGGUACUCAUUUCCUUCCUGAGCUUCCUCAGGCUCACCUUCGCUGGUGGCUGUAAUCGCUGGUGACUAUGCCAUCCUUUGUUUACUGAUGUGGCAGAAAAUAUUCCAUUUCUCACAUGUAUUGAGCAUUUAUUAAAUGCUAGGCAUGGUCUUAAAUGAUUUAUAAACGUUAUCACUCUUAAUCCUUCCAUCGGCACCUGAGGCAAUGACUAUUAUAAUUCUCAUUUUGUAGGAGAUGAAAUAAAUAUGGAGAGGUAAGGAAACCUGUCCCAGGCCACAUGCUUGGCAGGACUGAGGAGCUGGGGUCUGAACCCCGAAUGUUUACUCAAAAGCCUAUAUUCUCCCAUACUCCUUCAGAGGUGAUUUGAUGUGUUACUCUGUUCCCACGUCAUAAUGGGAGGCUGGGCUGUGUUAGGCAGAACCAAGAUGUGCUUAGUCACUCAGUCAGGUCCGACUCUUUGCGACUCCAUGGACUGUAGUCCGCUAGGAUCCUCUGUCCAUGGGGAUUCUCCAGGCAGGAAUACUGGAGUGGAUUGCCAUGCCCUCCUCCAGGGGAUCUUCCCAGCCCAGGGAUGGAACCCAGGUCUCUUGCAUUGCAGGUUGAUUCUUCACUGUCUGAGCCACAGACAGUAAACUGGAGUGAGAAAGAUUCUGUGGCUGGCUUUGAAGAAGCAAAUAGCCAUGACCUACCCAUGGAGAUGGCCACAUGGCAGGGGGCUGCUGGUGGGCUUUUGGGCCUGAAGGUGUUCUUUAGUCAACAGCCAGUGAGAAGCAGAGACCUCCAGUCUGCAAGGAAGUGCACUCUGUCAAGAGUAUGAGCCAUGGGGGCUGGCGUUUCCCCAGUCAAGCUUCUGGGUGAGAAUGCAGGCUGAUCACACCUGGCUGGUGGCCGCAUGAGAGUCUGAGCACAGGGCCCAGGUAAGCCAGGCUGGGACUCCUAACACACAGAGACUAUACGAGGAUAAAUGGCUGCUGUUUAAGCCGCUAGGUUUGUGGUCGUUUGUUUGGCGGCAAUGAACACUAAUCCACCGGGCUAAGGAAUUUGCCCAAGGUCACAUCCUCUUAGUAAAAUGACAGAGCUGGGAUGUGAACUUGGUUCACCUCUGGACCUGAUCAUCUGACACAAGAGCCACAUUCUUAGCUGCUUCUCUAUUCUACCUCUUUCAAAAUUACUUUUAUAGAUGAUUUUCUGUUCCAUACUGUAAUUAUUUCUUCAAUUUGCCACUGCUUUAGCAACUCAUAGCCUCCUGUAAUGUUCUUAACAGGAGAGACCUUGGAAAGGGUCUUUGAGAUUCCUUUCAAAGAGCUCACCCCCUCUUUGACUUUCUUCGUUUUUUUUCCUUUUAUUUAUUUUCUGGGCCGUGCUGGGUCUUUGUUGCUGCACCAAGGCUUUCUCUAGUUGUGGUGAGUGGGGGCUACUCUCUAGUUGAGGUGUCAG